rnacentral:lncRNA from 1 species
GGAGGGAAUGCCAGGAAGUGAGGGCGCCGCGGACCUGUCCGGCCGUGCGCAUGCGCCGCACGCCCGCCCCGCAAGGAUGAAUGAACACUGAAUCCUUUAGAAAACAGCUCCAAACAUUUCCACCAUAGUCAGGGACUCCAGUGUUGCCUUAGGGAUGAGGACUCCAUGGAUAUUUAACGAAGAAAGGGGAAGAGGACAGGGGACAGAGGCCUGAGAAUCCCCUGGGAAGGGCUAGAAGCUCAUCCAGCAUUGAAAGAUGACAUCAGAGCCGCUAUUCAAAAAGAACCCAAUUUAUCAACCUUUCUUAAUAAAGGAACGUCAGCCACAUCGCUGUUAAAGGCUAUAUAACACUCCGCUGUGCAGCUCAACCAUGAAGUGUUGAAUGAUUCUGGAGUUCAGCUGAAGGGAGGUUUCUUCAAUGUCAAUAAAGGAAAAGGCACAGGCACAGGAGGGCGCCACCUGAAGGAAGGGACAAGAUGCCAUAAAAUCAUAGAUGGCUCCAGAGGAACGGAAGGGAGAAAAAGGGUGGGCCGUUCACUUCUGAGCUUCACCCCACUGUGACCCCAAAACCUAUGGAGAGAAAUACCAUCAUUAGAAGACAAAAGGAUUUAAUGUGAAAUAUAAUGACAGAAGAACUAUUACCACCAAUAUCUCUGAUCAAUUGCUUAGUUUCUGCCAUUAUUACAGAAAGUGAUUUCUACCCAUUUAUAAUGCAAUCCUUACAACAUUAUGAAAGAUAUUUUAUUACUUCCCUGUUUUCAGAUGAGAAAAUGGAGGGACAAACAGUUCAAGUACUUUGCCAUAGGUUACAUACCUACGAGGAGGUGAACCAGGAUUCUAGACCAAGUCUUAGCUCCCUGCUUUGCAUAAAUCAUUCCACCUGCCUUGCUUCUCCAGCCCGUUUUCCUUUCUGUAAACAUUAACUAAAUCCCUCAGUGACCAAGCUCCACCUGAAAUACUACACUAAGGCUGGGCAUGGUGGCUCAUGCCUGUAAUCCCAGCACUUUGGGAGGCCGAGGUGGGCAGAUCAUUUGAGGUCGGGAGUUCGAGACCAGCCUGACCAACACAUAGAGAAACCCUGUCUCUACUAAAAAAAAAAAAAUACAAAAAUUAGCAGGGCGUGGUGGUGCAUGCCUGUAAUCCCAGCUACUCGGGAGGCUGAGGCAUGAGAAUCACUUGAACCCAGGGGGCAGAGGUUGAUUGCGCCAUUGCACUCCAGCCUGGGCAAAAAGAGCGAAACUCCAUCUUAAAAAAAAAUAAUAAUAAUAAUACACUACUCAUCUAUAAAACAGCCACAAUUAUCACCUACUUCACUGUGUUAUUGUGAGCAC